rnacentral:rRNA from 1 species
GACAGAGGGCUCAAACGUUGUUCGGAAUUACUGGGCAUAAAGCGCACGUAGGCGGCUCACUAAGUCGGGUGUGAAAUCCCUCGGCUUAACCGGGGAACUGCGUCUGAUACUGGAUGGCUUGAGAUUGGGAGAGGGAUGCGGAAUUCCAGGUGUAGCGGUGAAAUGCGUAGAUAUCUGGAGGAACACCGGUGGCGAAGGCGGCAUCCUGGACCAACACUGACGCUGAGGAGCGAAAGCCAGGGGAGCAAACGGG